rnacentral:hammerhead_ribozyme from 17 species
CAGGCGUCUAAGGCAGGACUCACACUACAUCGCCUUACUGAUGAGUCUAGUAGUGUGGGACCGAGACGAAACGCCGC